CAAAUACUCCCUCCGUCCGAAAAUACUUGUCGGAGAAAUGCAUAAAAAUGAAUGUAUCUAGAACUAAAAUACGUCUAGAUACAUCCAUUCCUCCGACAAGUAUUUUCGGACGGAGGGAGUAUAAA
rnacentral:pre_miRNA from 1 species